CCUACGGGGGGCAGCAGUGGGGAAUAUUGGGCAAUGGGCGCAAGCCUGACCCAGCAACGCCGCGUGAAGGAAGAAGGCUUUCGGGUUGUAAACUUCUUUUAAGAGGGACGAGCAGAAGACGGUACCUCUUGAAUAAGCCACGGCUAACUACGUGCAAGCAGCCGCGGUAAUACAUAGGUGGCAAGCGUUGUCCGGAUUUAAUGGGUGUAAAGGGCGGGUAGCCGGGCUGACAAGUCAGAUGUGAAGUCCGGGGGCUCAACCCCCGAACUGCAUUUGAAACUGUUGGUCUUGAGUAUCGGAGAGGCAGGCGGAAUUCCUAGUGUAGCGGUGAAAUGCGUAGAUAUUAGGAGGAACACCAGUGGCGAAGGCGGCCUGCUGGACGACAACUGACGGUGAGGCGCGAAAGCGUGGGGAGCAAACAGGAGUAGAUACCCUGGUAGUC
rnacentral:rRNA from 1 species